GGUGGGGAUGACGUCAAGUCAUCAUGCCCUUAUGUCCAGGGCUUCACGCAUGCUACAAUGGCCGGUACAAAGAGUUCGACCUGUGAGGGUGAGCGAAUCUCAAAAAGCCGGUCUCAGUUCGGAUUGGGGUCUGCAACUCGACCCCAUGAAGUCGGAGUCGCUAGUAAUCGCAGAUCAGCAACGCUGCGGUGAAUACGUUCCGGGGCUUGUACACACCGCCCGUCAAGUCAUGAAAGUCGGUAACACCCGAAGCCGGUGGCCUAACCCGUUUGGGGGGGAGCUGUCGAAGGUGGGACUGGUAAUUAGGACU
rnacentral:rRNA from 1 species